rnacentral:rRNA from 1 species
UACGAAGGGUGCUAGCGUUGUUCGGAAUCACUGGGCGUAAAGGGCGCGUAGGCGGCUUUUCAAGUCAGGGGUGAAAUCCCACAGCUUAACUGUGGAACUGCCUUUGAAACUGUAAAGCUGGAGUGUCGGAGGGGAUGGCGGAAUUCCUAAUGUAGCGGUGAAAUGCGUAGAUAUUAGGAGGAACACCGGUGGCGAAGGCGGCCAUCUGGACGACAACUGACGCUGAUGCGCGAAAGCGUGGGGAUCAAACAGG